rnacentral:rRNA from 1 species
CGAUCUGUAGCGGGUCUGAGAGGAUGAUCCGCCACACUGGGACUGAGACACGGCCCAGACUCCUACGGGAGGCAGCAGUGGGGAAUAUUGGACAAUGGGGGGAACCCUGAUCCAGCCAUGCCGCGUGUGUGAAGAAGGCCUUAUGGUUGUAAAGCACUUUAAGCGAGGAGGAGGCUACUUUAGUUAAUACCUAGAGAUAGUGGACGUUACUCGCAGAAUAAGCACCGGCUAACUCUGUGCCAGCAGCCGCGGUAAUACAGAGGGUGCGAGCGUUAAUCGGAUUUACUGGGCGUAAAGCGUGCGUAGGCGGCUUAUUAAGUCGGAUGUGAAAUCCCCGAG